UUCUCUUGCUGUCUUCUACUGAGAGACCAUCAUUUUAUCCCUGUUUGGGAAUUUCCAUUACUGCUGGGGAAAGGGACUUCUCCUCCUGAGUGAACACUGGGAUCUGACUUGAAGCAAGGCAAGAGAAGCAAAGCCUCCAUGUGAACAUCACAGGGGGGACUGCUUCUUCAUCCCACUGCUUUUCCAGACUGCACACUGUGUGUUCCUGCAGGGAUUCUCCUGCCCAGAUUUGUCACCUUGUGCAGGUUCUGCUGAGACUCUGGUCCCCUGGCAGCAGCAGGAUAUUGGAGGAUUUGAGCUGAGAUCUCUGAGCAGCCACAGCCCCCUGCUCUGACCCCUCAUUUCCAGCCCAGACACGGCUCCCUCAGCCCCACAUUUCCUCCA